rnacentral:misc_RNA from 1 species
GUAGGUAAGUCAAUCAACAUACCCUUUUCCCUUAUUUUCUAGUAUCAUUGCUAACUCUCAAACAGGUGAACCUGCGGAGGGAUCAUUAUCGAGUUAGGGUCUCACUGGCCCGACCUCCCAACCCUUUGUCUACUUGACCAUCGUUGCUUCGGCGAGCCCGUCCUCAAGGACCGCCGGAGGGCCCUUGCCGGCCCUCUGGCCCGCGCUCGUCGAUGGCCCCAACUUUAAAAUCUUAACUAAACGUGUCUUG